UGCUCGGGGAGAGGAAAUGUCUGAGGCUGCAGAGGAUCCACGCUCAUUGAGUCCUUAAUUAAUACAGUGCUCUGAGACUGGAGAUGUACUGCUUAAUAGGCUGGCAUGCCCAAGAAAAACAGCUUGUUCUGAAUGCACAUUAAGGCUUGGCCAGCGCGUGUGUGAAGCAGAAGGGAUACACCACCAUUUCACAGCCAGCAGGCAUCGGGAUCGGAGAAGGCAGUGGAGGGCACGACGGCGUUUCCCUUCCUCCCGGGCACGUCCUCAUCUGUGUCAGCCGAAGCGCAUCCAUCAGCCCUGUGGGCUUUGCUCAGGCAUGCAGCACCGAAAGGGAUGGAGCUGCAAUGCAAUGCAAACUGCCAGAGCUGGUUAUUGAGAUCCGAGUGACCUGUUUCUGUAUGGGUACUUCUGCUUACAAAGGUGAUCCAUUUCCCUCCUCCCUGUAUCUGCCAAACCUGACAAAUAGCAGAUAGAGCAGCACCGCAUCCUGCCUCAGGUCAGCUUGGGAGCGCACACUGUGGCAAAGUCAAUACAAUCAGGAACCAAAGUAUCUAUAAACAUCAGGGGUAUGUUUGGUAGAUUGUGGAGGUGAAAGGAACCCCUGUGUUCACGUGCUCUGGACUUCUGCAUAAAGAGGAUGUA